UACGUAGGGUGCAAGCGUUAAUCGGAAUUACUGGGCGUAAAGCGUGCGCAGGCGGUUAUGUAAGACAGGUGUGAAAUCCCCGGGCUUAACCUGGGAACUGCAUUUGUGACUGCAUAGCUAGAGUACGGUAGAGGGGGAUGGAAUUCCGCGUGUAGCAGUGAAAUGCGUAGAGAUGUGGAGGAAUACCGAUGGCGAAGGCAGCCUCCUGGGCCAACACUGACGCUCAUGCACGAAAGCGUGGGGAGCAAACAGG
rnacentral:rRNA from 1 species